CCUACGGGAGGCAGCAGUGGGGAAUUUUCCGCAAUGGGCGCAAGCCUGACGGAGCAACGCCGCGUGAGGGAUGAAGGCCUCUGGGCUGUAAACCUCUUUUAUCAAGGAAGAAGAUCUGACGGUACUUGAUGAAUAAGCCACGGCUAAUUCCGUGCCAGCAGCCGCGGUAAUACGGGAGUGGCAAGCGUUAUCCGGAAUUAUUGGGCGUAAAGCGUCCGCAGGCGGUUUUACAAGUCUGUCGUUAAAACGUGGAGCUCAACUCCAUUUCGGCGAUGGAAACUGUAAGACUAGAGUGUGGUAGGGGCAGAGGGAAUUCCCGGUGUAGCGGUGAAAUGCGUAGAUAUCGGGAAGAACACCAGUGGCGAAGGCGCUCUGCUGGGCCAUAACUGACGCUCAUGGACGAAAGCCAGGGGAGCGAAAGGGAUUAGAUACCCCUGUAGUCCUGGCCGUAAACGAUGAACACUAGGUGUCGGGGGAAUCGACCCCCUCGGUGUCGUAGCCAACGCGUUAAGUGUUCCGCCUGGGGAGUACGCACGCAAGUGUGAAACUCAAAGGAAUUGACGGGGGCCCGCACAAGCGGUGGAGUAUGUGGUUUAAUUCGAUGCAACGCGAAGAACCUUACCAGGGUUUGACAUCCUGCGAAUUCCUUGGAAACUUGGAAGUGCCUUCGGGAGCGCAGUGACAGGUGGUGCAUGGCUGUCGUCAGCUCGUGUCGUGAGAUGUUGGGUUAAGUCCCGCAACGAGCGCAACCCACGUCUUUAGUUGCCAGCAUUAAGUUGGGCACUCUAGAGAGACCGCCGGUGAUAAACCGGAGGAAGGUGUGGAUGACGUCAAGUCAUCAUGCCCCUUACAUCCUGGGCUACACACGUACUACAAUGCUACGGACAAAGGGCAGCAAACUCGCGAGAGCUAGCAAAUCCCAUAAACCGUGCUCAGUUCAGAUCGUAGGCUGCAACUCGCCUACGUGAAGGAGGAUCGCUAGUAAUCGCAGGUCAGCAUACUGCGGUGAUACGUUCCCGGGUCUUGUACACACCGCCCGUCACACCAUGGUAGUGCCACGCCCGAGUCGUACUCACCCUUGUGGAGGAGAUGCGAGGUGGCUGAUGACUGGGGUGGAGUCGUACAGGUACCGUUACCGGAGUGCGCUGAUUCACCUCCUUACAGGCAUACAAAUAACCU
rnacentral:rRNA from 1 species